rnacentral:rRNA from 1 species
AGAGUUUGAUCCUGGCUCAGAUUGAACGCUGGCAGAAUGCUUUACACAUGCAAGUCGAACGGCAGCACGGGAGCUUGCUCCUGGUGGCGAGUGGCGAACGGGUGAGUAAUGCGUCGGAACGUACCGAGUAAUGGGGGAUAACGCACCGAAAGGUGUGCUAAUACCGCAUACGCCCUGAGGGGGAAAGUGGGGGAUCGCAAGACCUCACGUUAUUCGAGCGGCCGACGUCUGAUUAGCUAGUUGGUGAGGUAAUGGCUCACCAAGGCGACGAUCAGUAGCGGGUCUGAGAGGAUGAUCCGCCACACUGGGUCUGAGACACGGCCCAGACUCCUACGGGAGGCAGCAGUGGGGAAUUUUGGACAAUGGGGGCAACCCUGAUCCAGCCAUUCCGCGUGAGUGAAGAAGGCCUUCGGGUUGUAAAGCUCUUUCAGCAGGAACGAAAUGGUACGCACUAACAUUGUGUGCUAAUGACGGUACCUGCAGAAGAAGCACCGGCUAACUACGUGCCAGCAGCCGCGGUAAUACGUAGGGUGCGAGCGUUAAUCGGAAUUACUGGGCGUAAAGCGUGCGCAGGCGGACUGUUAAGCAAGACGUGAAAUCCCCGGGCUUAACCUGGGAAUGGCGUUUUGAACUGGCAGUCUAGAGUGUGUCAGAGGGGGGUGGAAUUCCACGUGUAGCAGUGAAAUGCGUAGAGAUGUGGAGGAACACCGAUGGCGAAGGCAGCCCCCUGGGAUAACACUGACGCUCAUGUACGAAAGCGUGGGUAGCAAACAGGAUUAGAUACCCUGGUAGUCCACGCCCUAAACGAUGUCAACUGGUUGUUGGGGGAGUGAAAUCCCUUAGUAACGAAGCUAACGCGUGAAGUUGACCGCCUGGGGAGUACGGUCGCAUGAUUAAAACUCAAAGGAAUUGACGG